CCUACGGGAGGCAGCAGUGAGGAAUAUUGGUCAAUGGGCGGAAGCCUGAACCAGCCAAGUAGCGUGCAGGAUGACGGCCCUACGGGUUGUCAACUGCUUUUAUACGGGAAUCACGCGCCUUACGUGUAGGGCUUUGCAUGUACCGUAUGAAUCAGGACCGGCUAAUUCCGUGCCAGCAGCCGCGGUAAUACGGAAGGUCCGGCCGUUAUCCGGAUUUAUUGGGUUUAAAGGGUGCGUAGGCCGCAUGUCAAGCGUGCUGGGCAAUGUCCGGGCUCAACCCGGGCCUUGCAGGGGGAACUGGCGUGCGUGAGUCCGCGGAAAGCAGGCGGAAUUCGGCGUGUAGCGGUGAAAGGCUUAGAUAUGACGAAGAACCCCGAUUGCGAAGGCAGCUUGCUGCAGCGGAACUGACGCUGAUGCUCGAAAGCGCGGGUAUCGAACAGGAUUAGAUACCCGAGUAGUC
rnacentral:rRNA from 1 species